AUGAUUUGAUGUUUUGAACAGAUUCAUGAAUAUAAAAAUCUGUUCUUAUCAGUUUAAUAUCUGAUCGUCCUCUACCCGAGGACUAAUAUAUUAAUCUGGUUGCAGGAACCAGGAAGCGGAAGAGACUUGCUCCGUCGGCUCCCACUUGCUCGACCGGUAUUGCAGUGACUCCAGGAGCAGUUGCACA